UCCACAACAGCAUGACAUCCUGAGGA
rnacentral:piRNA from 1 species